UAAGGUUGGGUUAGGACUACAAUUAUGUCAAGAAAUCUUGCCCCAUUUUGUCAAACUCCACGUGCAAAUUGCCCCUCUGCCCACUUUGCUUUCUUUCAUUGUUUCAUCGCCCCCAACGCACUCAAAGGAUCACGGACGUUUGAGACUGAAAAGCCCUAUACGGAUUUAACCAUGCAAUGCAUGGUUCAAGCAGGAUGCACAGCCAACUGGUUUGCAUGCCCUGCCAAAGGACCCUAUCAUGCAAAAUAGGUGUUUGGAGUUCGUUGGUCCCAAGUGGUGGUGAGUAUACCGGUAGCUAGACAAUAGACUGCAGGUUAUGUAUCUGGUAUUGUAUAUUUCUAUAAUUAUUAUCACUAUCAUCGCUAGCAUAGCUGUCUUUUAGCUAGUUAACAUUAACAUUGCUAGCUAUUAUUGACUAACUUUGCUAGUAACUAAUGGAAACAUUGCCAUCUCUCUAAAGUAAAUUUGACGACAUAAUAAUAACGACCUACUUUAGCAAAGUCAUCGUAUAUCCAGGCCUUUCUAAAUUAAUGUAAUUUAGAUGAAACAGUCACAUUAGCCUCCGAGGUGCAACCCAUGUCUAGGGCACAAAUAAAUAUUGUGUGCAGCUAUGGUGUGUACUAGCUAACUCAUCUCUGACUACAACAGCAGCAACAAACUCAACCCAACCCAGGGCCUACCAGAAGGAACAAAGCUUCCCAGGCAAUACCUUACAAAAAAGUGUGUCAUGCGACACAAGUACCCUUGUGACACCACCGCAGUUGUUGCCAGAGUCUCCUUCGACUCCUAUGAAAAGGACACGCCAUCAUGAUGCCUCUGAUAGUGACCCAAGUUACUGCCCUGAGGACACAGACAGCUUCAUCAUCAACGACAGGCCCUCCCAGUCAACACCACACCAUAAGAUUGCCUGCAGCAGGUGUUCAAGAGAUGCCCAGGUUGCAGCCGAACAUGCAGCAUUGAGAAGACCAGCAAGUAGGCUCUCAUCAGCAUCAUGCAGACAGCCCCUCCCUGUGAGCAUUCCUAUGAAUGGAACAGUCAGCCACAUGUUGGCAAGUAUCUGGCCAGCAACAGCUUUCACAGGCUCAUCAUCAAAUACAGAAGAUAACCCACUUAAAUACUUUGAUAAUCCAAAUGGGAAACAUUAUUUAUGUAAACUGACAUUAUUUGUUGCUUAUUUUCUACUUCUUAAGAGGCAUAUAAUGUCCAGGGCAUAACCUAGUCUGGUGGAACCAGCCUGAUCGCUGUGUUCCCCAUUCUAUUUGACUUCACAUUUUAUGGCAAAGACCUCACCUCCAGCCUCACCUCUUGCCUGCACUCCAACGGUCGUUGAUAGGGAGAACAGAAUUAGGUAGGUUUAGUCUGACCUGUUCAAACUUCAACAUAGUAUAUGUUUGUGUGUCAGAUAUCACCUAUCCUAACUGCCAUUACUGUGUGUGUAUUCACAGAUGCAUGAGAUGCAGAAAGACCUGGCACUCAACACAUCCAAAAUGAGAUGGACUGGAAAUGCUUUGGCCAGAUGCCAGCCUCAGUCAUUUGAUGGGGAGACCAUAAUUGGGUAGGUUUAUCUGACCUAUUCAAACUUCAACAUAGUACCUGUUUGUAUGUCAUAUAUUACCUAUCCUAACUGCCAUUGGUAAUAGAACAGUGACUAUGUGUGUAUUAGGGUUGAAUGGGGGUAACCCGGUUACCGAGACUUACCGUCCAAAACCACUCCCUUUUCCCGUUAUAGAUAA